AUUGAACGCUGGCGGCAGGCCUAACACAUGCAAGUCGAACGAGUGGGGACGGGUGAGUAAAACGUGGGUAACCUCCCAUCAGAGGGGAUAACACUUGGAAACAGGUGCUAAACCGAUACUGACGGAUGGACUCGCUGUGCAUUAGCUGGUUGGUGAGGUAACGGCUCACAAAGCCUACGAUCCAUAGCCGACCUGAGAGUGUGACCGGCCAAACUGGAACUGAGACACGGCCCAGACUCCUACGGGAGGCAGCAGUGGGGAAUCUUCGACAAUGGGCGAAAGGCUGACCGAGCAACGCCGCGUGUAUGAAGAAGGUUUUCGGAUCGUAAAGUUCUUUUGGUAGGGAGGCGGUAUCUGACCAAAAAGCCCCGGCUAACUACGUGCCAGCAGCCGCGGUAAUUC
rnacentral:rRNA from 1 species